rnacentral:rRNA from 1 species
UACGUAGGGGGCAAGCGUUGUCCGGAUUUAUUGGGCGUAAAGAGCGUGUAGGCGGCCAUACAGGUCCGUUGUGAAAACUGGAGGCUUAACCUCCAGACGUCGAUGGAAACCGUAUGGCUAGAGUCCGGAAGAGGAGAGUGGAAUUCCUGGUGUAGCGGUGAAAUGCGCAGAUAUCAGGAAGAACACCCGUGGCGAAGGCAGCUCGCUGGGACGGUACUGACGCUGAGACGCGAAAGCGUGGGGAGCGAACAGG